rnacentral:rRNA from 1 species
AGAGUUGAUCCUGGCUCAGGAUGAACGCUGGCGGCGUGCCUAACACAUGCAAGUCGAGCGAUCUCUCGGAGAAGAGCGGCGGACGGGUGAGUAACGCGUGGGUAACCUGCCUCAUACACAUGGAUAACAUACCGAAAGGUAUGCUAAUACAGGAUAAUAUAAGAGAUUCACAUGGAUUUCUUAUCAAAGCUCCGGCGGUAUGAGAUGGACCCGCGUCUGAUUAGCUAGUUGGUAAGGUAACGGCUUACCAAGGCGACGAUCAGUAGCCGACCUGAGAGGGUGAUCGGCCACAUUGGAACUGAGACACGGUCCAAACUCCUACGGGAGGCAGCAGUGGGGAAUAUUGCACAAUGGGCGAAAGCCUGAUGCAAGCAACGCCGCGUGAGUGAUGAAGGCCUUCGGGUCGCAAAACUCUGUCCUCAAGGAAGAUAAUGACGGUACUUGAGGAGGAAGCCCCGGCUAACUACGUGCCAGCCGCUGC